UGAGGAAGAUAAUGACGGUACUCAACAAGGAAGUGACGGCUAACUACGUGCCAGCAGCCGCGGUAAAACGUAGGUCACAAGCGUUGUCCGGAAUUACUGGGUGUAAAGGGAGCGCAGGCGGGAGAACAAGUUGGAAGUGAAAUCCAUGGGCUCAACCCAUGAACUGCUUUCAAAACUGUUUUUCUUGAGUAGUGCAGAGGUAGGCGGAAUUCCCGGUGUAGCGGUGGAAUGCGUAGAUAUCGGGAGGAACACCAGUGGCGAAGGCGGCCUACUGGGCACCAACUGACGCUGAGGCUCGAAAGUGUGGGUAGCAAACAGGAUUAGAUACCCUGGUAGUCCACACCGUAAACGAUGAUUACUAGGUGUUGGAGGAUUGACCCCUUCAGUGCCGCAGUUAACACAAUAAGUAAUCCACCUGGGGAGUACGACCGCAAGGUUGAAACUCAAAGGAAUUGACGGGGGCCCGCACAAGCAGUGGAGUAUGUGGUUUAAUUCGACGCAACGCGAAGAACCUUACCAAGUCUUGACAUCCCUUGACGAUGCUGGAAACAGCAUUUCUCUUCGGAGCAAGGAGACAGGUGGUGCAUGGUUGUCGUCAGCUCGUGUCGUGAGAUGUUGGGUUAAGUCCCGCAACGAGCGCAACCCUUAUGUCAGUUACUACGCAAGAGGACUCUGGCCAGACUGC
rnacentral:rRNA from 1 species